AUUGAACGCUGGCGGCAGGCCUAACACAUGCAAGUCGAACGGUAACAGGAAACAGCUUGCUGUUUCGCUGACGAGUGGCGGACGGGUGCGUAAUGUCUGGGAAACUGCCUGAUGGAGGGGGAUAACUACUGGAAACGGUAGCUAAUACCGCAUAACGUCGCAAGACCAAAGAGGGGGACCUUCGGGUCGCUUGCCAUGGGAUGUGCCCAGAUGGGAUUCGUUAGUAGGUGGGGUAACGGCUCACCUAGGCGACGAUCCCUAGCUGCGCUGCGGGGAUGACCGACCGCGCUGGAACUAAGACAAGGUCCAUAAUCCUACGGGAGGCAGCAGUGGGGAAUAUUGCACAUUGGGGGCAAGCAUGAUGCAGCCAGGCCGCGUGUAGUAAGAAGGCCUUCGGGUUGUAAAGUACUUCCAGCGGGCAGGAAGGGAGUAAAGUUAAUACCUUUGCUCAUCGACGUUACCCGCAGAAGAAGCACCGGCUAACUCCGUGCUAGCCGCCGCAGUAA
rnacentral:rRNA from 1 species